CAGGCUGGAAUAACUUCACUUUUUUUUGGUGUAGGCAAAGCUCUCUGUUGGAGAAGACAGAUUACUGGAUAAUUGUGUCACAUUUCACACCUGCCCUUGUCUUUGUAAACCUUUGCCCUGUCAAAAUAUAUAGUAGUUGUCCAAAGUUGGGAUCUCAGAGACUAAUAAAAAGUAGAUGGAACCUAGAAAAGCUAAGCGGAAGAGCUCUCUGUGUGUAUACAUAAAAACAUAGUUGAGAUCAGCUCUUUCCUCCCUGUUUUAUCUCUGGUUUAGAUCACCAACUUCCCUGCCAUUUCCUGACACCAAUUUUGAAGCCAGGGGGCUCAGAGGCAUUUUCUUCAACAGAAGAGUUCAGAGUUUCAGUGUCCACCUUUGAGCUGCAACUAGUCCCUCAGUGGUGUAAAUAUGCAUGCUGCUGCAGAAUCUCCUGUUCCAGGAUCCCACCUCGACCCCUUUCAGAGAAAUCUGGGAAUGAGAGAAGGAACCGGCCCAGGAGUGAUUUAUGACCUGCUGUCUGUGUCCUGCCUGAGGAAGCAUGGCUCUGGCUGUUUGAAGCAGACCCAGACUGGGAUCCUCAGAGAUUGGAAGGAGUGAUGGGGACCCUUCAGGAAAAUGUCACCGACCGUUGACUCUCAGCUCAGCUCGAAGCUGCUGAUGAGGGGCUAGGCUGGGUUGCUGUCACAGUGAUGUGAGCUCAGGCAGUUGGGGAUGGGGAAGAGGGACCAGCCAGGAGACACAGCAUCUGAGUUCAGCACCCAGGUCUUCCUCUGAUUCACCCUCUGACCUCAGCAAAGCCCUUAACUCUCUUCCUUCAACUCAUUUUUCAGGCUGCAAAUGGACUGAGCUGCGUGAAGCGGUAAAAACAAACCUGCUUGCAUGGAAGGAAUGUUCCUAGCCAUUUGAGGCUGAAUAUAGGGAGAUACAAAGCACAGAUCCACUGUUGGGCAACCGUGACGGGCCACCUGCCAAGGAGAUGGGAGAACCAGGGCCUGGAAAGGAGGAGCAUCUGCGAAGCACAGCCUGAACCAUGAAGCUUCC
rnacentral:lncRNA from 1 species